CUUGCAACCAAUAAGAGGUCCAGCCUGCCCAGUGACUCUGUUCAACGGCCGCGGUAUCCUAACCGUGCAAAGGUAGCGCAAUCACUUGUCCUUUAAAUAAGGACUAGUAUGAACGGCACCACGAAAGCUAUACUGUCUCCUUCCCCUAAUCAGUGAAACUAAUCCCCCCGUGAAGAAGCGGGAAUAAUUUUAUAAGACGAGAAGACCCUAUGGAGCUUUAAACACACAACAAUUGUUACGGGCCCCCCUUCUCCUUCCCUGGAAGAAACUACCCACCCGAACAUUUUGAUUGUAAGUUUUAGGUUGGGGUGACCACGGAGCAAAAAUUAACCUCCAUAGUGAACGGGGUCCUUUCCCCCUAAACCCAGGGCCACAACCCUAAGGAUCAAUAAAUUGACACCCAUUGACCCAAUACCUUUGACCAACGAAC
rnacentral:rRNA from 1 species